UACGUAGGGCGCAAGCGUUGUCCGGAAUUAUUGGGCGUAAAGAGCUCGUAGGUGGCUUGUCGCGUCUGUCGUGAAAGCCCGGGGCUUAACUCCCGGGUCUGCGGUGGAUACGGGCAGGCUAGAGGCAGGUAGGGGAGAAUGGAAUUCCCGGUGUAGCGGUGAAAUGCGCAGAUAUCGGGAGGAACACCGGUGGCGAAGGCGGUUCUCUGGGCCUGUACUGACGCUGAGGAGCGAAAGCGUGGGGAGCGAACAGG
rnacentral:rRNA from 1 species